CAGUCGUGAGGAAGGUGGUAGUGUUAAUAGCACUAUCAUUUGACGUUAGCGACAGAAGAAAGCACCGGCUAACUCCGUGCCAGCAGCCGCGGUAAUACGGAGGGUGCGAGCGUUAAUCGGAAUUACUGGGCGUAAAGCGCAUGCAGGUGGUUUGUUAAGUCAGAUGUGAAAGACCCGGGGCGUCAACCUCGGAAUAGCAUUUGAAACUGGCAGACUAGAGUACUGUAGAGGGGGGUAGGAAUUUCAGGUGUAGCGGUGAAAUGCGUAGAGAUCUGAAGGAAUACCGGUGGCGAAGGCGGCCCCCUCGGACAGAUACUGACACUCAGAUGCGAAAGCGUGGGGAGCAAACAGGAUUAGAUACCCUGGUAG
rnacentral:rRNA from 1 species